GAUGAAGAACGCAGCGAAAUGCGAUAAGUAAUGUGAAUUCCAGAAUUCAGUGAAUCAUCGAAUCUUUGAACGCACAUUGCGCCCGCCAGUAUUCUGGCGGGCAUGCCUGUUCGAGCGUCAUUUCAACCAUCAAGCCCCAGGCUUGUGUUGGGGACCUGCGGCUGCCGCAGGCCCUGAAAACCAGUGGCGGGCUCGCUGUCACACCGGGCGUAGUAGAUUUUAUCUCGCUCAGGGCGUGCUGCGGGUUCCGGCCGUUAAAAAGCCUUUUUUACCCAAGGUUGACCUCGGAUCAGGUAGGAAGACCCGCUGAACUUAAGCAUAUCAAUAAGCGGAGGA
rnacentral:misc_RNA from 1 species